CCAGACCUCCUCCUUGUGCCACCAAGCCAGGCCCCAAGCUCCACGAGGAUAGAAGCUCCUUUAUUUGAGACCUUGCCUUAUGUCUGUCUUCAUCGCUGAUAACUUGUAUCCUUCAUGGUAUCCUUUAUUAAACUGAUAAAUGUCCUCUAGUACGAUACUGAACAGAAGUGGAGAUGACAGCACACUUACCUUGUACCCCAUUUUAAAAUGAAUGAAGACUGGGACUUAUCUUCUGACCAAUGAACUUCCGCCAAGAAUCCCUCCCAUGCCCAAUCAAGAACUCACUGUUUAGACUGGCUGGACUUCCCCCUCUUUGUAUUUGCCCAUAAUUCAGCCCUUCCCAAACCCUCAACCAGCUCACCUGUAGCUGGCUACCGCACACAUUUCCCCAACUGCAAUUCCUCUGCUAUUCCGGAAUAAACUCAAUUUCUGGUAAUUAGAGCUUAUCUCAGUUUACCUCUUUAUUUAGGUUGACAGUCCUCACAGAAGAGAUGCAAAAGCAGGGAACAACAAAGUUAUUUCUCUAAGAUUCAAUCACCUCCUAGGAGCUGCCAGCGUAAGACUUGGCACCACCUUCCUUCCUACUGCAGGCCAGGGAGAAACUCAAUUCUUAUUCUAGGGAUUUCCUCCAAGAGACCCCUUCUCCCUCCUGACUUAGACUGGCUUCUCAAUGAGUUUUGAGUGUUGGAAAUUGAAGAGUUGUAAAUUAAAAAGAAGAGGAAAUGUC